AAGGAUGUGCAAGUACAGAAAACACAAACCCAAGUUCCUUGAUGUGUGAAAAUACAGAACCCUCCAAACCUUCUUAAAUGUCACUGACAUCACUGGAUGGAUUAUUCUGACUGCCUGGGGCUAUUUUCGAUAUGCUUUCUGUUCCUGUUUCAGAUGGUGGUACUCUACUCAGUUGGGUUAGCUGCAGUGACUUCAAGAGCAACUUUGGGAACACAUCCUAGAGUUCCGUGUGCUGUCACAUGUUGAAAGAUACAUGUUCAUUAAGAAGAAAGGACAUCCAUGUGCAGAGGAUCCCUUUUAUGUGCAAAUGGAGGAGGCAUGAACUGACCCAGUGUUCGCUACCCAGCCUCUGGGAUAGACAACCACAACAUAAAAUUAAAUAUAAGCAAAAAGUGAAACUUACCAGUCUAUUUUGAAGAUGAGUGAAAUGCAAAAAACAUCUGAAAUGUUUAAGAUUACAAUUCCUUUCAGUUUUAACAAUUUCAGAUCAGUAACACAAGCAAGGGAAUUUAUUGUUCAGAAUUAUAUGGGGCCACAAUCUGCUCUCAGCUAAUGUCGAUUUACACCAGUAAAGUUAACUUGAGUUACUUUAGACUUAUAGCAGUGUAAAUGAGAAUAAAAUUUAGACCAUGAUCUGUAACA